rnacentral:rRNA from 1 species
GGCAAAGAUUGCCUCAUCUAUUAAUUAAGCAGAAGAGAAUUGCCCAGUUAAUUACGGAAAACCGGGCAAAAACCGGAACAACAAGGGCCAAGCCCCACUCCCAUAGACUGAAACACACAGGGCAAAGCCCACCCUCAUCGACGACAAGUCGACCUGCAGCCAGACAACACAGCUCCGACUCUGACGGAGAACUCAGAAGAACAAAACCAGGCACAGCUGGCGCCAAGGAAGAUCGCCGAACAGGCUACAUGCAGCCAGUCAUCGUACACCACAGGGCCCUGCCGCCGCAGCUUCGACUCCACACCAACAAGCAAACUGAGGCAAAACCGUGGACACGCCGGAGAAGAGCCGACUACCGCAACCAUUGCCCGUCGCCGACAUCGAUCCCACCAUCAUCGUUGCCACAGAAGUCUGGUCGCCACAAUGAUUCUCUCGGGACCGCCACCCCGACAUCCACCGCUCCGUCGCGCCCAGCGCAAUCAACCGGCACCGCCUUCCGGGGCCGCCGCCCCGACAUACCACCGCUCUCCUCAAGCAGCAACGCCGCACAACCCAGCUGCCCGCAGCCCACGCUGCUCAGGGCAACCGCUCGCAGACCACGAACGUCGCACCACAUCCGAGGCCGCCGCCCCGACGUAAAGUCAGACCGCCCCCUCUGGGGCGCAUCGACCGAGCCGACACCCCUACCGCCCAAGCAGGACAAGGAUGCCACCCAACCAAUAUCGAGAUAGAGCCCCGCCUCAUAGAGCUGCCACUCACAUUGUUCCCGAGAUCGCCAUCUUGACGCACAAUCAAAAACCACCCGGAGCCGCCGCCCCGACGUCCACUGUCCCCGACGACGACGAGAUCCGUGCAAAAUGCAGCAUGCUGACUCUCAAAGGCGAUGCCUCAAAGAAGGAAACGACGUAGCCGCCGUCGUCGCCCGCUUCGACCAUCCGAAGCUAGGGAUUUCUCCCUGAGAGUCGUGUAAUGGAGCUCCACGACAACACCUUCAAGAAGGGGAACGACGCCAUGGCCAUGGCGCCGCUGUUGCCGGCACCGACCCAAGGUCAGUGCUGGGCUUUCGCCCGGAGCUCCUCCACACCUCCGAAUCCGAGCAAAUCCGAAGCACUGCACAGCACAUAAUCUCCAUGGUCGACGUCCACCUGCUCCACCUUCCCGCUGCGCCGCGCACCUCCAAGAUCCAGAUCCGCGCAGCAUGGAGUCCCCUCGCGCCCAGCACGCGCCUGCAGCGCCACCAUGCUCGGCCACGCCUGGCCGCCCGGCGCGGCCACCAUGUUCCGCCUCGCCCUCCCCAGCACCGGAUCCCGCAAAAACGGAUCCGUCGCCGCAGAUCAAGCCGGUGGCCCGAAGCCACCCCCGUCGAGACCGCCAGAUCCACGGUCACCCGACGCAGCCAUGCUGCACCGCCCUGCGCGCGCCUCCCCGCGCCCGAACGCGGCCACCCCUGCCAGUGCGAGCACCGGCUGCCAGAGCAACACUUGAGAUCCCGCCGAGACGAGCAGCCCGCGCUGCCAGAGCUCAGACGGGAGGAGGAAAGCGCCUCGCCGCCGCCGGGCCGCAAGGGCUUUGCCCGGCGACCUCCGCCGGCGGCGGCGAGGGGAGGAGGGGGCAGUGGAGCUGCGCUGGCGGUGGCUGGAAAUCGCCCCCUGGCC